rnacentral:rRNA from 1 species
UAACACGUGGGGAACCUGCCCCAUAGUCUGGGAUACCACUUGGAAACAGGUGCUAAUACCGGAUAAGAAAGCAGAUCGCAUGAUCAGCUUUUAAAAGGCGGCGUAAGCUGUCGCUAUGGGAUGGCCCCGCGGUGCAUUAGCUAGUUGGUAAGGUAAAGGCUUACCAAGGCGAUGAUGCAUAGCCGAGUUGAGAGACUGAUCGGCCACAUUGGGACUGAGACACGGCCCAAACUCCUACGGGAGGCAGCAGUU